UACGGGAGGCAGCAGUGGGGAAUAUUGGUCAAUGGGGGNAACCCUGAACCAGCAACGCCGCGUGAAGGAAGAAGGCUUUCGGGUUGNAAACUUCUUUUGCCGGGGACNAAACAAAUGACAGUACCCGGCNAAUAAGCCACGGCUAACUACGUGCCAGCAGCCGCGGNAAU
rnacentral:rRNA from 1 species